AGAGUUUGAUCCUGGCUCAGGACGAACGCUGGCGGCGUGCUUCAUACAUGCAAGUCGAACGCGAAUCGGUAGCUUGCUACCGAGGAAAGUGGCGGACGGGUGAGUAAUAUGUAGAGAAUCUGCCCUAGAGAGGGGGACAACAGCUGGAAACGGUUGCUAAUACCCCAUAUGAGCGUACCUGAAAUGGUAUUCUUGAAAACUCCGGUGCUCUAGGAUGAGUCUGCAUCUGAUUAGCUAGUUGGGGGUGUAAUGGACCACCAAGGCGACGAUCAGUAGCUGGUUUGAGAGGAUGAUCAGCCACAAUGGGACUGAGACACGGCCCAUACUCCUACGGGAGGCAGCAGUAGGGAAUUUUGCGCAAUGGGCGAAAGCCUGACGCAGCAACGCCGCGUGAUUGAUAAAGCCCUUCGGGGUGUAAAGAUCUGUCAGUGGGGACGAAACUUGACGGUACCCACAGAGGAAGCACCGGCUAACUCCGUGCCAGCAGCCGCGGUAAUACGGAGGGUGCAAGCGUUGUCCGGAAUCAUUGGGCGUAAAGAGUUCGUAGGUGGUUUGUUAAGUUUGGUGUUAAAUGCAGAGGCUCAACUUCUGUUCGGCAUCGGAUACUGGCAGACUAGAAUGCGGUAGAGGUAAAGGGAAUUCCUGGUGUAGCGGUGAAAUGCGUAGAUAUCAGGAGGAACAUCGGUGGCGUAAGCGCUUUACUGGGCCGUAAUUGACACUGAGGAACGAAAGCCAGGGUAGCAAAUGGGAUUAGAUACCCCAGUAGUCCUGGCCGUAAACGAUGGAUACUAGGUGUUGCGGGUAUCGACCCCUGCAGUGCCGUAGCAAACGCGUUAAGUAUC
rnacentral:rRNA from 1 species